UACGUAGGGUGCGAGCGUUGUCCGGAAUUAUUGGGCGUAAAGAGCUUGUAGGCGGUCUGUCGCGUCUGCUGUGAAAAUCCGGGGCUCAACCCCGGACUUGCAGUGGGUACGGGCAGACUAGAGUGUGGUAGGGGAGACUGGAAUUCCUGGUGUAGCGGUGAAAUGCACAGAUAUCAGGAGGAACACCGAUGGCGAAGGCAGGUCUCUGGGCCACUACUGACGCUGAGAAGCGAAAGCAUGGGGAGCGAACAGG
rnacentral:rRNA from 1 species